rfam:Triticum aestivum genome assembly, contig: Triticum_aestivum_CS42_TGACv1_scaffold_456724_5DS
CAACUACUCCCUCCGUCCCGAAAUUCUUGGCGGAGAAAUGGAUAAAAUUGGAUGUAUCCAUAACUAAAAUACGUCUAGAUUCAUUUAUUUCUCUGACAAAUAUUUUCGGAUGGAGGGAGUAAGAU